rnacentral:snRNA from 1 species
UGCUUUGCACAAUGGCAGUAUCGUAACCAAUGAGGUUAAUCUGAGGCACGAUUAUUGCUAAUUGAAAACUUGUAGUAUAACAGUGUUGGGGGGGGGAGUUAGAAUAAUUUCUGCAUGUAUGCAUAUA